GCGUUGGCUGGCAGGAUGCGGAAGGUGAAAGCCGGGCUAUGGCUGCUGACGGCAGAGGCUGAGGUGUGUUCACUGCUGGAACUCAGAACUCAUUUCUCCAUAGAAACUAUGGUGUACUGUUAGAUAGGUUCUAGAGUGCAUUUAGAAUUCCAGAUGAGGUAUGUGAGCCAAACGGACUUUUAUGAGUUCUCCUGGACACAUACCUACUCCUUUUAAGGUUGUUUCCUCAGAAAUGUGGCUUUGAGUUCCAAACAGUUGACCAUAAAUUGUCUUUGUGGAGAGGGAGCCCUGGGGCCUUAUGACUCAAUUGUUUGCUGUGAAUUCAGACAGGUGUGGGCCCCUUUGAGGGACCAGCCCACUCCACCUCUACUCCAGGACCAAGACUUCUGAGCUGUUGGGGAAACCAGGAACCCCCUUAGAGGCCUUGGUACAUGCAGCUGCCUUUGCCAGGAAAACCCUUCUUCCCGUCUGUGCUCUCUUCCUGUAUUAAUCUUCAGAUUCUUAAACAACGCUUUCUCAAGGAGGAGAGAGAUGUUUUAGAGGAUGGCCAAAAGCCAUCAGCACGGCACAGAGAAGAUCUAAGAUCCAAAUAAGCCCCAAACCAGACAAUUGGCCUGUGAAUUACAGACGACUGAUUGGCUGUGGACGGUAGAGUUCUUUUGCUGCCCUCUGGGACCCUCAUUUCCCACCAAUGUUGUCGAUGAGAAGGCUGAAGACAGGUGCUGUUCCCAGGGAGAUGGACACAAAGCAGCUCUUCCAUCUUCUUUCUUGUUUUGGAGGACAUAGCAUGGGAACCUGGUAACUGAAGCGGUUGUGGCCAUUUUGUAAUCCUGAGGGAGAAAUCCAAAAGAAUCACAAAGAAGCUGACUAAGAGCCGACCAACUCAACCAGCUUUGGAACAUCCCACAUCUGGAUUUAUUGUUACGUAAAAUAUAAAGGUAUUCUGUAAUAAUAAAUCUCUAAAUAAUAAACCUAAAAAU